CAAAUAAGAGGAGACGAGACAUAG
rnacentral:miRNA from 1 species